CUAAGCGGGAAGCCUACCUCAAGAUAAGAUUUCCCUAGGACUUUAUGUCCUCUAAAGAGCCGUUCGAGACUAGGACGUUGAUAGGUUGGAUGUGGAAGCAUAGUGAUAUGUGAAGCUGACCAAUACUAAUUGCUCGUGAGGCUUGACUAU
rnacentral:rRNA from 1 species